rnacentral:rRNA from 1 species
AAUGAUACCCUGGUAGUCCACGCCGUAAACGAUGAGUGCUAAGUGUUAGAGGGUUUCCGCCCUUUAGUGCUGAAGUUAACGCAUUAAGCACUCCGCCUGGGGAGUACGGCCGCAAGGCUGAAACUCAAAGGAAUUGACGGGGGCCCGCACAAGCGGUGGAGCAUGUGGUUUAAUUCGAAGCAACGCGAAGAACCUUACCAGGUCUUGACAUCCUCUGACAACCCUAGAGAUAGGACUUCUCCUUCGGGAGCAGAGUGACAGGUGGUGCAUGGUUGUCGUCAGCUCGUGUCGUGAGAUGUUGGGUUAAGUCCCGCAACGAGCGCAACCCUUGAUCUUAGUUGCCAUCAUUUAGUUGGGCACUCUAAGGUGACUGCCGGUGACAAACCGGAGGAAGGUGGGGAUGACGUCAAAUCAUCAUGCCCCUUAUGACCUGGGCUACACACGUGCUACAAUGGACGGUACAAAAGAGCUGCAAGACCGCGAGGUGGAGCUAAUCUCAUAAAAACCCGUUCUCAGUUCGGA